AAUGUUGCAAAAAUAAUUAGGAACAUUAUGCAGCAUGUCUAUGCACAUUUUGGAACGGAGGGUGUAUAUGUCAAGUAGUACUGCUAAAAUUGCUCAGACUGCAUAAAUGAUCUAUUACAGUAUCUUACAGGUCACUGCCAUUUCUACACACACAACUACAUGUGGGAAGCACAGUACAACAUGACAAUGGGUGGUUCAGUUUCAUAAUCUUAUAAACAACGCUUGUUUGCCAAUUAUCUCAUUCUUCAGAAUCUUAAUUAUACUGUUGCCUCAGUCUUCUCGGAAGGAAGAAUUCCAAUAAUGCAUGCAAUCUCUAUCUUUUUUCUGAUAUAAUCCUCAUAGGACUUGGGCAUAUUAACCUAAAAAAGAGAAGAAUUUCACUAGGGAAAUCAUCUUUCAAAAUCAUGAAUAAUGCAGAGGUAAAUUCACAAAUUACAGUACCAGCUUUUUAACUCCGUCUGCGAUCAACUCCUUAGCUUUAUCCUCUUUAAC
rnacentral:lncRNA from 1 species